rnacentral:rRNA from 1 species
UACGUAGGGUCCGAGCGUUGUCCGGAUUUAUUGGGCGUAAAGAGCUCGUAGGCGGCUCAGUUAGUCGGAUGUGAAAACUCGGGGCUCAACCCCGAGACGCCAUCCGAUACUGCUGUGGCUCGAGUCUGGUAGGGGAACACGGAAUUCCUGGUGUAGCGGUGAAAUGCGCAGAUAUCAGGAGGAACACCAAUGGCGAAGGCAGUGUUCUGGGCCAGUACUGACGCUGAGGAGCGAAAGCGUGGGUAGCAAACAGGAUUAGAUACCCCUGUAGU